rnacentral:lncRNA from 1 species
UUGAUUGUUUAAAUUGACUGGCUUAUGAUAAAUCGAGCAUGAUUGGCUAGUUGGCAAUUGUAUUGAAAUGCGAAUUGUUUGGUUGCCUUGAAAAACUGCGAAUUACAAAAUUGCCAUAUCAUGUUAUUGAGUUUUAUUAUAUGGUGGAUUAUAUAUUAAUUAAUCAUGCAGUAGGGGGUUUCUGUGAACCAACCUUUUAGAGGGGCACGGUAAACCCCAUUAUAUUCUUACCUCGAACGGAGAGGCGCGUAGGGUAUCUCCUGGGGUAAAGUUUAGGGUUCACUUCAUGCUAAACCACCACGUGAGGGGGAACUCAGCCAACGCCAAGGAACGGCUAUGUUUUCAAAACAAAAACAUGAUUUAUGUGAAAUGUGAAUUUUAAUAGCCUUGACGAUCUCGGUAGGAUGCCUCGGCCAAGGUGUCCUCGAGAAUGGAUUUAUGGCACAAGCCUAGAUUUUUAUGAGAUUCAUAAGCUUCUUUACGUGUUUUGAACAAAAUGUGUUCUAAUGCUAUAACCCAAUUUAUGAUG